GGCUGAGGUAGGUCUGCAAAGUAUGCCAUAUCCUGUGGCGAAGCAGACAUAACCCGCAUAUGCGGG
rnacentral:sRNA from 1 species